AGAGGGCCGAUCCAGUUCUUUCCGGCUGGAAUGGGGAAUUUGUGAGGUAGGCCGGAAGUGGUGUUGCGGAGGGAACUGUGGGGAGAGCAGAGGGGCAGCUCUGCUGGAGAGACCUGAGGCUUGCAUCGCUGGGCCCGGCCGGGUCGCUGCGGCUGGGCUGGAGCCAAGGUUAACUAUUUGUAACAUGUCAUCUUUCAAGGAAGCAUCUAACCAAGAUUAAGUCAAAGGCAUCUACCAGGUCCUGAAUUCUCUCCCAGAUGCACACCUUUUAAGGUCAAGGAUGCAUUCCAGGAAAGUUCUAUAAAAAUAUACCAUCAACUCCAACCUGAUAUUUGACCUAGCCAUGGAAAACCUCAUUGGCUCCUCACUGGAUCAGACCAUAAAAAUGAUCCAGGAAUGAAAAUCUAAGAUAAAUUCCCACCACUUCAAGAUGUUCUUAUACAAGUCAACAGUCUAGCAGAUCAGCCAGUCUCUUUCAUCAUCAAGCAGACAUACUCAAGGUACCAACACAGCAAAGGCACAAAAUGUCUCUAUAUCAGUAUUUUUCAUGGUAUAUGUGAGACCCAUUAGUGAGGCAUGAAAUCAAUUCUGUGAGUCACAAUGAACAUUUUUCUAAAAAACAAAAUAAAAUGUAAAAUACCAAAGUGUUUUGCAUGAAUCCUUUGCCUGAAUUGUGCACACUGCAAGGAAUGCUGAGGUCAAUUUCAAUAUGCGAGAGGGGUAUUUGAUGGAGGAGAUACGAUGAAUAGAAUGUAUAUUGGCUAAGAAAUGGUUUUCAGUCGUUGAUUCCUGGGUGUCUUGCUUGAUUUUCAUAAUAGCAAGGUUAAUGUUCUAUAGUCAAGUUUUAUAUUACAAUUACUUGCAACUAGUUGUGAAGUCUGAAAUAUUCGAUUCAAUUGCAAACUUUGAGUGUAGUUUUUGAAAAGAUGUUAUUUAGACUGUAUAUUUUUUUCUUCUUUUUUGAGUUAGUGCCAAUUAUAACAUUUUAAUCAAACUGGAACAAAUUGCUAUUAAAAUGGAUCAUUUCUUUAUUAAAAGAAAGAGGAAUAGUGAAGUGAAAUACACAGAAGCAUGUUCAAGUUCAUCUGUUGAAUCUGGAAUUGUGAAUAGUGACAAUAUUGAGAAAAAUACUGACUCCAAUCUGCAAACUUCAACUUCAUUUGAGCCACAUUUCAAAAAGAAAAAAGUAAGUGCAAGACGUUAUAAUGAAGAUUACUUAAAAUAUGGCUUUAUCAAAUGUGAAAAACCCUUUGAAAAUGACAGACCUCAGUGUGUUAUUUGUAAUAAUAUUCUUGCGAAUGAAAGCUUAAAACCUUCGAAAUUAAAAAGGCACUUAGAAACUCAGCAUGCUGAACUUAUUGAUAAGCCUCUUGAAUAUUUUCAAAGAAAGAAAAAAGA
rnacentral:lncRNA from 1 species